rnacentral:pre_miRNA from 1 species
AAUAAGUGUAAUUUUACACUAUUCACGUUUAACGUUUGACUGUUCAUCUUAUUUAAAAAAAAUUUACGAUUAGUAUUUUUAUUGCUAUUAGAUGAUAAAACAUGGAUAGUACUUUAUGUUUAACUAAAUAUUUUUAAUAUUUUUAUUUUUUUUAAAUAAGAUGGACGGUCAAACGUUGAGCAUGAAUAACAACUGUAUUUAUU